AUUGAACGCUGGCGGCAGGCCUAACACAUGCAAGUCGAGCGGAGCGGCGGACGGGUGAGUAAUGGCUAGGAAUCUGCCUGGUAGUGGGGGAUAACGUUCGGAAACGGGAGCUAAUACCGCAUCCUAUCAGAUGAGCCUAGGUCGGAUUAGCUAGUUGGUGGGGUAAAGGUCUACCAAGGCGACGAUCCGUACCUGGUCUGAGAGGAUGAUCAGUCACACUGGAACUGAGACACGGUCCAGACUCCUACGGGAGGCAGCAGUGGGGAAUAUUGGACAAUGGGCGAAAGCCUGAUCCAGCCAUGCCGCGUGUGUGAAGAAGGUCUUCGGAUUGUAAAGCACAUUAAGUUGGGAGGCGUUACCAGCAGAAUAAGCACCGGCUAACUUCGUGCCAGCAGCCGCGGUAAUAC
rnacentral:rRNA from 1 species